rnacentral:tRNA from 1 species
UCUAAUAUGGCAGAUUUAAUGCAUUGAAUUUAAACUUCAAUUAUAAAGAAUAUUCUUUUUUUAGAA